GUGUUGAGAUCUGCAUAGCCACUCCUGGACGUCUGAUAGAUUUCCUGGAGUCAGGAAAGACAAAUCUUCGCCGAUGUACUUACCUUGUAUUGGACGAAGCUGACAGAAUGCUUGAUAUGGGGUUUGAACCCCAGAUCCGUAAAAUUGUUGACCAAAUCAGGCCUGAUAGGCAGACACUGAUGUGGAGUGCAACCUGGCCAAAAGAAGUAAGACAGCUUGCAGAGGAUUUCCUUCGUGAUUACACCCAGAUCAACGUAGGCAAUCUGGAGUUGAGUGCCAACCACAACAUCCUCCAGAUAGUGGAUGUCUGCAUGGAAAGUGAAAAAGACCACAAGUUGAUCCAACUAAUGGAAGAAAUAAUGGCUGAAAAGGAAAACAAAACAAUAAUAUUUGUGGAGACAAAGAGACGCUGUGAUGAUCUGACUCGAAGGAUGCGCAGAGAUGGUUGGCCAGCUAUGUGUAUCCAUGGAGACAAGAGUCAACCAGAAAGAGACUGGGUACUUAAUGGUAAGUUUAAAACUAAGCAUUUUCUGUUGAUUCCCCACCCCCUGCCCAUAAGUGAAUGUUCAUGCUCUAUUUCAGGGAUAGGCAAACUUUCUGUAAAGGGCCACAUACUAAGUAUGCUUGGCUUUGUAAACCAAAUGGUGGUCUCUGUUAUAGCCACUCAGCACUGCUGUUUUAGGACAAAAGCUGUAGGCUAUAGAUAAUAUGUAAAGAAGUGGCCUGGACUGGGCACCGUUGGUGGCUCAUGCCUAUAAUCCUAACACUUUGGGAGGCUGAGGCGCGUGGAUCACCUGAGCCCAGGAGUUCAAGACCAGUCUGGGCAACAUAGUGAAAUCCUGUCUCUAAAAGAAAA
rnacentral:sRNA from 1 species